rnacentral:rRNA from 1 species
GGACUACCAGGGUAUCUAAUCCUGUUUGAUCCCCACGCUUUCGCGCCUCAGCGUCAAUGUCGGUCCAGUUGGCCGCCUUCGCCACGGGUGUUCCUCCCAAUCUCUACGAAUUUCACCUCUACACUGGGAAUUCCACCAACCUCUACCGAAUUCGAGCAAGACAGUCUUGAAUGCAAUUCCCGGGUUGAGCCCAGGGCUUUCACAUCCAACUUGUCGAGCCGCCUACGCGCCCUUUACGCCCAGUAAUUCCGAACAACGCUAGCUCCCUUCGUAUUACCGCGGCUGCUGGCAC